UACAUGAACAGUUGUCAUGGUCCACUUAAAG
rnacentral:piRNA from 1 species